CGGCGGGGUCGGCCGGGCGCGCUGGGGGCCGUGGGAGGUUAGGAAAUCUCAGGUCGUCCCCGCCCUGUGCCCUGUGCCCGGUGCCCGGUGCCCUGGGCCGGAUGCCUAAUGGCCCGCUGUUCGGUGAGCGCCGGGGAUUGCUUAGAGCUGGGACGACGAUGGCACCAGCUGCGUCAAGACUGCGAGCGGAAUCCGAAUUCGGGUCGCUUCCGCGGCGUGUGCUCGCCCAAUACUUGCUGCUCCUAAAGCUGUAUCCGGUGUUUACCAAAGCCGUCAGCAGUGGCAUUUUGUCAGCCCUUGGGAACCUUCUGGCCCAGAUGAUUGAGAAGAAACAGAAAAAAGACUCUCAAAGUCUAGAUGUUAAAGGGCUUCUCCGAUAUUUAGUUUAUGGAUUCUUUGUCACAGGUCCACUGAGUCACUAUUUCUACCUCUUCAUGGACUACUGGAUCCCUCCUGAGGUUCCCUUGGCCAUUGUCAAGAGGCUCCUUCUGGAUCGCCUGCUCUUUGCACCAGCUUUUCUGUUGCUGUUCUUCCUCAUCAUUAACUUGUUGGAGGAGGCUGAGAAAGGAAGAUUGCCACAAUUUCAAGGUCAUCCUGGACUGCAAGGGGAAGGAUGCCGCCAAGAUGAGGAGUGGUUUCUGGCCUGCACUACAAAUGAACUGGAGGAUGUGGACACCCUUGCAGUUCAUUAACAUCAACUAUGUGCCCCAGCAGAGGCAGGAGGACCAGGAAUUCCACGUCAGCUCAGGAAGAGAGGGAGAACAAAUCACAAGUCUGGAAAAUGUUCCUGAGACAUUUGAAGAUGGAAAGAAGUGGCCAGGAAGCCGGGAGUCUUGAGUUCCGGGUGCUCUUUGCCAACAUAGCAGCUCUGUUCUGGUAUGCCUACCUGGCCUCUCUGGGGAAGUGAUGUCAGAUACACCGUGGAUGAGGUCUGGGGAAAUCCACCCACAGCAGGAGAGAUCAGAAUCCAUCAUUCAGGACAUCAUCUGACUAAAUUUUGUCAUUCAAAGAUGCCUUAAAAUUACAGAGGAAGGAAAUGUAUGUGUUAGUGUCAGAAUCUAGUGUUUAGAGAGAUGGCACAAGACUCAGACAGUAUAUAAUCUUAUUUGUAAGCAAGGUAAAGUUCAAUAAACAGUAAUGCAGCUGUUUC